rnacentral:rRNA from 1 species
UACAGAGGGGGCAAGCGUUGUUCGGAAUUACUGGGCGUAAAGGGCGCGUAGGCGGCCUGUUAAGUCGAACGUGAAAUCCCCAGGCUCAACCUGGGGACUGCGUCCGAUACUGGCAGGCUUGAAUCCGGGAGAGGGAUGCGGAAUUCCAGGUGUAGCGGUGAAAUGCGUAGAUAUCUGGAGGAACACCGGUGGCGAAGGCGGCAUCCUGGACCGGUAUUGACGCUGAGGCGCGAAAGCCAGGGGAGCAAACGGG